ensembl:lncRNA
CACUGAGGACAGACCUGAGAUCACUCACUCAUUAUGACUCUCACAGAGUCAUAAUGUGCUUGUUUUUAAAAACGCUGAAGAAAUAUUGUGUCCUCAUUAUGCAGGAAAUAAAGGAAAAAAACCCUAGAAAUAGACUUCAUCAUUAUGAGUAGUGCUCAUAGAUCCACUUUACAUAGCAGAACUAUGGAAAACAGUCUAGAGUAUAAUGAGCAAAAUUUUCUACACUAUACUAGCAAGUACAUUAUGUAGCUGUGUUAAUGUUACAUUAGUAUUCCAGAGUGGAAAUCCUUCCUGCAAACAGAAGGUGAAAGGAAACAAAAUUGGGCAUCAGUCUCAUUCCAGGACAUCCAUUUCUUAUAGUCAUCAGGCAGAGUGUCUCGGUGUGAUGGGUUCCCUGUGCCCCCCUGCCUCUCCAGCAGAAGUCCAGGCUGCAGAGGGCACGCCAGCCGUGUGACAUCCCAGAUCUUCUGGCUCCAGUAGACCUGUAUGAUGCCACCAGGCCAUGCCAAAGCUUACCAAGAGUGUAGAUGAGCAAGAACAGCUGCAGCAGGAUCGUGUAGGGUGGAGGUCUGGUGCAGCUGUGAGCCCAUAACGUGGAAGAAGUUGUGGGGUGUGAGGAGUUCCUGGCACUUCUCACAUCAGAUACGAGAGUUUGACUGCCAGUUUCCUGGAAAAUUCCAUAAUGACUGUCAAAUGGAGACACCCAGGCAUCCUGCUCCACUUCCAAGCAGAGAAAGUGUUUACAGUGACUGGUCUGCUGGCUCACUUUUGAGUGAGACAAGCCUAGGUCAGUUCUCAUGUCUAGGAAUUCCACUCACAUAGCUGGUCAGUGAGUGAUGCAGCUUUGGAGGGCACACCUGCAAACUCAGCAAUACCAGUAGUGCCAUGUCCGUAGCCUUUGAUGGGACUUCUGCUCACAGUAUACUUUGUUUAUUAAAAUGUUAUUGGUGUUGGCUUUGACUUUGACAUUUGAGUAAGCCCUGUCACAGGCUAGUAACUCUAAAUAAAAUUGGAUAAAUUGCUUUAAUGAGGAAGGGAACAGACUGAACCACAAUAAUAGGGCAAAAAACACUAGAAAUCUUCAUAUUUUUAGAAAUCUUCACAUUUCAACAGACAUAUGCUGGUACUGUACAUACUUUUUUAUCAGAUUGCCCUUAAGAUCACAGAAUAUUUUAGUUCUCUUUUUCUCUGUCAUCUCAUUCAGAGGGAUAAAGCCCUAAGAGUGUUCCGUGGUGCGUGUAAUUUCUCUGAACUUCAGGCCUCACUCGCAUUCAGAGGGAUAAAGCCCUAAGAGUGUUCCAUGGUGCAUGUAAUUUCUCUGAACUUCAGGCCUCACUCACUAAGGAUGGCCAGUUUCAAAGUCUUGUGUGGCAAGACUGGGCCUGAUCUCCUCUGGUCCUAGUUAACAAGGGUGGCCUGUAAGAAAAUAUGUAUGGGACAGUUCGACUGCUGGGCUGUGAGUGUGCUGGCUGCAAGAACAGCUGCCUCACUUUGAGAUGUCUUCUCUGUUUGCUCACUGGUGUCCCAUUGUGGUAGGUAAUCCACAGAGUUAGAUAUUGGUUUGCUUUCAGGUCUGCUCCUUGCCAGCAGCACUUCUAUAUAAGGUUAAUACAGUUGCCUUGCACUUGUCAAACCGGAAAACAAAUGUGUUAACAAUUAAAGCUUGUUUUGCACUGUACAGUAUGGGACUGUUCUCUGUGCUCGGUGUCCUUUGGGAAGAUUCUGAGCUUUAUGAUGCCUCAGCCUCCUGUGGAGUUUAAUUGCCACUUGUCCCAGGGUCGGGGGGCAGUUUUGGGAUGAACUCUUUAGUUUCUUACAGAGGGAAAUGGGGAAUUUGCAUGGUCUGAGGGGACCUGGUCCUGCAGCAAAGCUGCUGUACUGAGCAAAGAACGAAUGUUGACACAUGCAUGACUAGUAUUUUCUGGGCAAACCUGUGGGCUUGGCAGGCACAUUUGCUGGGACAUUUGCUGCUCUUCCUUCUGUUGACUGCUGAGUAACCUUGUGGUUUCCCACGACCCUUGUGAUGGAGCAAGCUUCCCUAAAUUGUGUCUGUCGAGCUUAGACAAGAAUUUUCUUACAUUAAAAGUGUGUUUUGGAUGAGUUCAGGGAAGUUUGACAUUGUCUAACUCUUAA